rnacentral:rRNA from 1 species
AGCAGCCGCGGUAAUUCCAGCUCCAAUAGCGUAUAUUAAAGUUGUUGCAGUUAAAAAGCUCGUAGUUGAAUUUCGGGGUCAAUAAGUUGGUCAUGCCAAUGGUAUGUACUGGCUUUAUUGAUUCCUACCUCUUGACGAACUGUGAUGCCAUUAAUUUGGUGUUGCAAGGAAUCAGGACUGUUACCUUGAAAAAAUUAGAGUGUUUAAAGCAAGCUUACGCUUGAAUACAUUAGCAUGGAAUAAUGAAAUAGGACGUUUGAUCCUAUUUUGUUGGUUUCUAGGAUCGACGUAAUGAUUAAUAGGGAUAGUUGGGGGCAUUAGUAUUCAAUUGUCAGAGGUGAAAUUCUUGGAUUUAUUGAAGACUAACUACUGCGAAAGCAUUUGCCAAGGAUGUUUUCAUUAAUCAAGAACGAAAGUUAGGGGAUCGAAGACGAUCAGAUACCGUCGUAGCCUUAACCAUAAACUAUGCCGACUAGGGAUCGGAUGAUGUUAAUUUUUAAUGA